rnacentral:sRNA from 1 species
AAGAAAUGGCAGAGGGACGGAAACGAGGUUUUGUGGCAUGUGGUGCGUUCUUUUCAAAGGCAGUUCCGUCCCCGGUGGCGGUUUUGCGGUGGCGGAGGGUGUGAUACGGCAACGCUUAUGGAUAUAAGAUUUUGAAUGGUGAGUUUUCCCUUUUGGCUGAGCAGAAUUGAUGUGCAUCUCGGACAGAUAUAGUUAGGUUUUCCAAGAAUAAUACUGAAUUUUAUCAGUGAAGAUGUUAAAGAUCCAAACUAUUAAGGGAAAUUCUCUGAUGAGAGAAAAUGAUAAGGAGAAGCGUCAAAGACAAACGAGAAGGCAAAAUGUGGUGGCCAUCCUCCUUCUCACUUCUCAUGGAAGAAGCAAAAUCCAACACAUACACCUUUUAUAUACACUAAUUAGAGACGUAAUUGUCUUUGUUCCAAUAAUACA